GAUGAACGCUGGCGGCGUGCCUAAUACAUGCAAGUCGAGCGAACAGACGAGGAGCUUGCUCCUCUGACGUUAGCGGCGGACGGGUGAGUAACACGUGGAUAACCUACCUAUAAGACUGGGAUAACUUCGGGAAACCGGAGCUAAUACCGGAUAAUAUAUUGAACCGCAUGGUUCAAUAGUGAAAGACGGUUUGGCUGUCACUUAUAGAUGGAUCCGCGCCGCAUUAGCUAGUUGGUAAGGUAACGGCUUACCAAGGCAACGAUGCGUAGCCGACCUGAGAGGGUGAUCGGCCACACUGGACCUGAGCCACGGUCCAGACUCCUACGGGAGGCAGCAGUAGGGAAUCUUCCGCAAUGGGCGCAAGCGUGACGGAGCAACGCCGCGUGAGUGAUGAAGGUCUUCGGAUCGUAAAACUCUGUUAUUAGGGAAGAACAAAUGUGUAAGUAACUAUGCACGUCUUGAAGGUACCUACUCAGAAAGCCGAGGCUCAACCCAUG
rnacentral:rRNA from 1 species